UUUUAUUCAAGCUUAUGGUUAAUCAUUGCUGAUUGCCAUGAAAAUUGUACUCUGUACAUCUUGCAUGUAUAAGUCAGGUAUGAAAGGCUGAUCACCUUCAUUACCAGUUGGUUCAGAAAUGUUUGUUCAUGUUUAAAACUUGUUCAGGCAAAAAUUUGUUCGUGCUAGUUCUCAAUUAUAUUGAUGAAUUAUAGCCAACUUAUUAUUCAUACUCUUCAAUCAUGAUAUAUCCUUAUAUUGUUGUAUUUAAACUUGCUGGGAAACUUUCAUGCUCACCCUUGCUACAUCAUGAUAAAACAUUGCAGAUAAGGCGAAAGCGUUCGGAUACAGGAAAAGGUUAAUGCCAAGUACAACUUGGAAUAA
rnacentral:lncRNA from 1 species